AUUGCAAGAAGACUCCUAAAGCCUCCGCGCACAGUAGCAAUUUAGCAAUGGAAUACGAGUAGGGAAUGGAUAAUUAGCGAACGUGAUAUUUUAAAUGCUAACAAAGAAAUGAUACCAAAUUCCCAAUCUUAGCUUGACAAUAACACCAUAGUAUGAAAUCAUUCUAAUAUUUAAUUUCUGCCAUUAAUGGCACAUUUAAAAACCGCAAAUAAAAUGGGAAAUGCUUAUUAUAGAAAGUGAUGAAAAGAUUAAUAAAUUAAAAGCUCUUAAUUAAGAUUAGGAAAAAAAUUAUUAGAGGAAAUUUAACCAACAUUGCUUUUUCGCAGAUUUUGUGAACUUUCCUCAUACCAACUAAAUGCAGUAUUGAGCCAGGCAAGAGGGCAUCACAGAGAGGAUGGAAGCGGGAAGCGGUCUUUCUUGCUGCUGCCAGCCCUGCAAUGAGAGUGAGGUGCCUGCCUCCCCUGCCGAUGGUGAGCCUCCACCAUAUGUUCCCAAUAGUGUUUUCCAGUGUGUGGCUUUUGCCCACCUGCACCAGCAUUUCCGGGAGCACAGGCUGGAAAUGAAGCUCCAGGGCCCACCCUAGACCGUUGAACUAGGAUCUCUUGGUGGGUCUGAAGAACAUGGCAGUUCUCCAGUUGAGAAGAAGUGCUGUCAGAAGAAAUGCUGUCACCCAACAGGAACAAGGAGGCCUAGAGGAGAGCAGCAAGAAGAGCAGAGCUGAGUCAAGACACCCAGGGGACAAAGCAGGAGCUUUCGACUCUUUCAUGAUCGUGAGGAGCUUUCCUCAGUCAUCCCAGGUGCAAGGGGCCACGUGAAGCUUUUCAGCGAACUUUCUAUCAGGUAUCCAAGUUGCUUUGCAUGCAAGAACCCACACUAGAACUUGGAACAAGAAUAAACAGUAGGUGAUACAGGCAGAAAUAGAGAUGGAGACAGAAAUGGAGUCAGAGACAGAGAUGGAGAUGAGAAUGGAGGUGGAGAUGGAGUUGAGGAUGGAGAGAGAGAAUAGAGAUGUCAAUUAACAAAGACCAAGAAUAACACAGACUCCGAGACCAAAGGAUUUGAUGUCCACCUACAUAAAUGUAAACAAUGACAAUUUGCCUCAUACCUUUAUACUAAAUCUUUCAGCGUAAAGCAGAAUGCCAUAGUCAUUAAGUGUUCUGUCUCAGGAGGCACAUCAGCCUGUAUUAAAGCCCAGGUUCCAGGGCAACCUUGGGCAAGUUUCCUGACCUCUAUAAGCCUAGUGUCUUCACCUCUGACAAUAACACUGCCUGCAGAUAUCUGUAAAGCACAGGCCUCCUAAAGAGUAAAGAAUCAGUAAAUGUGAACCACUGCUGAGACAGAAGUCAACUCCUUAUACAAGACCGUGUUCUAAUAGCAAUGUGUUAACAUCUCUCAACUGUCAGACAAGUUCCUUGACUCAAGCUUGUCAAUGAUGUCGAUGAGCAAGGAAUUAGAAAGAGGAGAUGAAAGGUAAAGUAGAUAAUUUCAAAGAGGCUCAGAGGAAACUGCAUUUAAAUAUCUGCAUUCAAAUACUACUAGACAAAGCAAACGAGGUGAGGGGAACUGGGCUUUUGGGGAAAUAUUUUUGCCCUGACUGCAGCCCAACGGUGCUUCAGCUUUUGAGUGUGGGAGAAAAUG
rnacentral:lncRNA from 1 species